CUCGGCGUAAGCUCGGUUGGAGGCACCUGCAGCUACCCUGUAGUUGCGGACUGCCAACUCCAGCCGCGGCCCGCCGGCGGUACACUAAACUCUGUUUUAUUUUAUAUUCUGAGCGUCUUAUUUUAAUAAGUUAAAACUUUCAACAACGGAUCUCUUGGUUCUGGCAUCGAUGAAGAACGCAGCGAAAUGCGAUAAGUAAUGUGAAUUGCAGAAUUCAGUGAAUCAUCGAAUCUUUGAACGCACAUUGCGCCCAUCAGUAUUCUGGUGGGCAUGCCUGUUCGAGCGUCAUUUCAACCCUUAAGCCUAGCUUAGUGUUGGGAAUCUGCUGUACUGCAGUUCCUUAAAGACAGUGGCGGAGCGGCGGUAGUCCUCUGAGCGUAGUAAUUUAUUUCUCGCUUUUGUCAGGCUCUGUCCUCCCGCCAUAAAACCCCCACGGCGAGUGAAGCGGGAACAGCUCAAAUUUGAAAUCUGGCCCUUGGGUCCGAGUUGUAAUUUGCAGAGGAUGCUUUUGGUGCGGUGCCUUCCGAGUUCCCUGGAACGGGACGCCUUAGAGGGUGAGAGCCCCGUACGGUUGGCCACCAAGCCUGUGUAAAGCUCCUUCGACGAGUCGAGUAGUUUGGGAAUGCUGCUCAAAAUGGGAGGUAUAUUUCUUCUAAAGCUAAAUACUGGCCAGAGACCGAUAGCGCACAAGUAGAGUGAUCGAAAGAUGAAAAGCACUUUGAAAAGAGGGUUAAAUAGCACGUGAAAUUGUUGAAAGGGAAGGAUUUAUGACCAGACUUUUUCUGGGGGGAUCAUCCGGUGUUCUCACCGGUGCACUUCCCCCAGUUGAGGCCAGCAUCGGUUUCUGCCGGGGGAUAAAAGCUUUGGGAAUGUGGCUCCUUCGGGAGUGUUAUAGCCCGUUGCAUAAUACCCUGGCGGGGACCGAGGUUCGCGCAUUGCAAGGAUGCUGGCGUAAUGGUUAUUAAUCACCCGUCUUGAAACACGGACCAAGGAGUCGAACAUUUGUGCGAGUGUUUGGGUGUUAAACCCUCACGCGUAAUGAAAGUGAACGGAGGUGAGAGCCUUUAGGGGUGCAUCAUCGACCGAUCCUGAUGUCUUCGGAUGGAUUUGAGUAAGAGCAUA
rnacentral:sRNA from 1 species